AUUGAACGCUGGCGGCAUGCCUUACACAUGCAAGUCGAACGGCAGCACGGGUGCUUGCCCCUGGUGGCGAGUGGCGAACGGGUGAGUAAUACAUCGGAACAUGUCCUGUAGUGGGGGAUAGCCCGGCGAAAGCCGGAUUAAUACCGCAGACGAUCUACGGAUGAAAGAGGGGGCCCUUCGGGCCUCGCGCUAUGGGGUUGGCCGAAGGCUGAUUAGCUAGUUGGUGGGGUAAAGGCCUACCAAGGCGACGAUCAGUAGCUGGUCUGAGAGGACGACCAGCCACACUGGGACUGAGGCACGGCCCAGACUCCUACGGGAGGCAGCAGUAGGGAAUUUUGGACAAUGGGCGAAAGCCUGAUCCAGCAAUGCCGCGUGUGUGAAGAAGGCCUUCGGGUUGUAAAGCACUUUUGUCCGGAAAGAAAUCCUUGGCCCUAAUACGGUCGGGGGAUGACGGUACCGGAAGAAUAAGCACCGGCUAACUACGUG
rnacentral:rRNA from 1 species